CCAUACAUUGUACAAGUAUGUAAGUGGUAUCAAAAUCAAACCACCUAUAUAUUAGAUAACUAUGUUAUCUAAUAUUAGGGGACUAUAUGUACUAUUAUGAUAUAGAUGACAAUAUAUUGACACGAGUAAACUCUAUGUAUAUGUCAUCUAUACGUCACUGAUUUUUGUCCACUGUAUUUGUUAUUUUAUGAGUGCCCACUUUAUUUGUUCCUAUUAUUAUAUAUCAAAUGGCAUGAGACUAGCCAUUCCACUUUUAUCCGUAUCUCAUAGUAAUCUGUGGAAACAAAUAUGGGUGACAGUCUAGCUAGAUAUAUCAUGUCUAACAAAAUAUUUUCAACUGUGAACUAUUAUUUAUAGCACUUGUAUCAGACAGUUCCGUCAUUCAUAUUCUCAAAUCUUUGAGAAUGGAAUUUUCAAUAAUGUGCUAAAGGAUUGUUCAAAUUAACCUUAAAUAUUUUAAAUUAAAUUAAACAUUAAUGCCAUUUAAGGGAAUUAGGUUUACAAUACACAACACAAACGUAUUGCUCUAUGGCAUACCAUUAACAAAGCCUACAUCCACAGGCAUAAAACCACAAAAGGGCUACAUUUUAUUCACUUGUGUUGUGUGUCUUACAUAAUACAUAGAACUCCACAUUUAUAUUAGAAGAUACAUAAUAUAGUUCCAAAAAAUACUCCUAAAUCCCUUAUAUUAUAGAGACAACUCAUUCCCUAAAUUAAAGAGUAAUCUUCUCAUUAAAUUAAUGAAAAUCUCAACAAUUCUAACAAUCAUAACAACAAAUGUGACCUUUUCUAAAAAGGAGUGAUUUACCUUUUUACAUUCCAAAAACAAUGUAAGAGCCGAUAAACCUCUUUCAUCCAAGGAUUCUCUAAUUGAUUCAAGUUGCUCCGCAAGA
rnacentral:misc_RNA from 1 species